GAUGAACGCUAGCGACAGGCUUAACACAUGCAAGUCGAGGGGCAGCACGGGUAGCAAUACUGGGUGGCGACCGGCGGACGGGUGAGUAACACGUAUGCAACCUGGCCAUAACAGGGGUAUAGCCCUAAGAAAUUGGGAUUAAUACCGCAUAAAACAGGGAUGCCGCAUGGCAAUAUUUGUUAAAGAUUAAUCGGUUAUGGAUGGGCAUGCGUUGGAUUAGGUAGUUGGCGGGGUAACGGCCCACCAAGCCGACGAUCCAUAGGGGUACUGAGAGGUAAAUCCCCCACACUGGGACUGAGACACGGCCCAGACUCCUACGGGAGGCAGCAGUGAGGAAUAUUGGUCAAUGGGCGGAAGCCUGAACCAGCCAAGUCGCGUGAAGGAAGACGGUAUUAUGUAUUGUAAACUUCUUUUGGGAGGGAAUAAAACGCGGGAUGCAUCCCGUCUUGGAGGUACCUUCCGAAUAAGCAUCGGCUAACUCCGUGCCAGCAGCCGCGGUAAUACGGAGGAUGCGAGCGUUAUCCGGAUUUAUUGGGUUUAAAGGGUGCGCAGGUGGUGGUUUAAGUCAGCGGUGAAAUCUUCGCGUUCAACGCGGGAACUGCCGUUGAAACUGUAUCACUUGAGGAUGGACGAGGCAUGCGGAAUUCGUAGUGUAGCGGUGAAAUGCAUAGAUAUUACGAAGAACCCCGAUAGCGCAGGCAGCAUGCCAGGCCAAUCCUGACACUGAGGCACGAAAGUGUGGGUAUCAAACAGGAUUAGAUACCCUGGUAGUCCACACAGUAAACGAUGAAUACUGACUGUUUGCGAUAGACGGCAAGCGGUUAAGCGAAAGCGUUAAGUAUUCCACCUGGGGAGUACGCCGGCAACGGUGAAACUCAAAGGAAUUGACGGGGGCCCGCACAAGCGGAGGAACAUGUGGUUUAAUUCGAUGAUACGCGAGGAACCUUACCCGGGCUCGAACGGAGUUUGCAUGGGAGUGAAAGCUUUCAGCCAGCAAUGGCAGGCUCCGAGGUGCUGCAUGGUUGUCGUCAGCUCGUGCCGUGAGGUGUCGGCUUAAGUGCCAUAACGAGCGCAACCCCUUCCACUAGUUACUAUCAGGUAUUGCUGGGGACUCUAGUGGGACUGCCACCGCAAGGUGCGAGGAAGGUGGGGAUGACGUCAAAUCAGCACGGCCCUUACGUCCGGGGCGACACACGUGUUACAAUGGGAGGGACAGAGGGCUGCUACCCGGCAACGGGAUGCCAAUCCCGAAACCCUCUCCCAGUUCGGAUUGGAGUCUGCAACCCGACUCCAUGAAGCUGGAUUCGCUAGUAAUCGCGCAUCAGCCAUGGCGCGGUGAAUACGUUCCCGGGCC
rnacentral:rRNA from 1 species